GAGCUUGACCCCUUUGCAGGCUAAAGGACUUCUUGAGGAUGAUGAGGUUGGUUUUGCCUACAUAAGUCAGCAUGAAGCUUGCCCAUCUCUGUAUGAAAUCCAAUAUUCAUUGAUUGGGUUGAGGGAGCAUAUAAAGAAACGCCCCCCACUAGCAACAACCGAAAAGGUUCAACAAUUUGUGAGGGCUCGGGGAAGGGAAGCAAUUGUUGCUGGAUUCUAUCAUGAAGGUUAUGAGGAGUCUCUUUUAAUGCUAAUGAAAAGAAGAGGUGUUCAUUCUGGUUUGGUGGUGAAGGGUGAGGAAGGGGCUCUUUCAAUGACAACAAGAUUGCGUUCUGCAAAUGCAUCAAAAGGACUCCCUGUGAACUAUUGUUCAGGGUUUCGUUCAUUGAGCAUGGCUUCUGCUUUUGAAGUUGAUGGAGUGUCACGUGAGAGUUUCAAUAUUGAGGUUAAUGCCAAGGACUAUGGUUUUGAACCCACUGAUACGCCAAGAACUGAUAGAUCGGUCUCCAAGAAUAUACAGCUGGGUUUAGCAGCUCUUCGUGGUGAAAAAGGUCCAGCAUAUGAUCGGAUUGUUCUAAAUGCGGGAAUGGUGGAUCACUUGCUGAGAUGUGAUGGUGCAGAAGAUAUCUCCUCAGCCCUGGACAGAGCCAGAGAGGCCAUUGACAUGGUAGGGCUCUUAAAAAGCUAUUAAAUUACAUAAAUAUCUCUCACAAAGUUAGGUAAAUGGGGCCCAAUUGGUGCUUGCUAACUUCAAUUUGCAUCAGAUUUUUGUUUGUGGUGUUGUAAAUUUUACAAUUUUUCAUGUUUCUGAACAUUGAGAUGAAGAAGAAGAAGAAGAAGAAGA
rnacentral:misc_RNA from 1 species